GGAUGAACGCUGGCGGCGUGCUUAACACAUGCAAGUCGAACGAAGCACCUUGAUUUGCUUCUUCGGAUGAAGAUCUUGGUGACUGAGUGGCGGACGGGUGAGUAACGCGUGGGUAACCUGCCUCAUACAGGGGGAUAACAGUUAGAAAUGACUGCUAAUACCGCAUAAGACCACAGCACCGCAUGGUGCAGGGGUAAAAACUCCGGUGGUAUGAGAUGGACCCGCGUCUGAUUAGGUAGUUGGUGGGGUAACGGCCUACCAAGCCGACGAUCAGUAGCCGACCUGAGAGGGUGACCGGCCACAUUGGGACUGAGACACGGCCCAAACUCCUACGGGAGGCAGCAGUGGGGAAUAUUGCACAAUGGGGGAAACCCUGAUGCAGCGACGCCGCGUGAGCGAUGAAGUAUUUCGGUAUGUAAAGCUCUAUCAGCAGGGAAGAAAAUGACGGUACCUGACGAAGAAGCACCGGCUAAAUACGUG
rnacentral:rRNA from 1 species